rnacentral:rRNA from 1 species
UACGGAGGGAGCUAGCGUUGUUCGGAAUUACUGGGCGUAAAGCGCGCGUAGGCGGCUUUGUAAGUUAGAGGUGAAAGCCCGGGGCUCAACCCCGGAAUUGCCUUUAAGACUGCAUCGCUUGAAUCCGGGAGAGGUGAGUGGAAUUCCGAGUGUAGAGGUGAAAUUCGUAGAUAUUCGGAAGAACACCAGUGGCGAAGGCGGCUCACUGGACCGGCAUUGACGCUGAAGUGCGAAAGCGUGGGGAGCAAACAGG